rnacentral:rRNA from 1 species
UUAAGCGACUAAGCGUACACGGUGGAUGCCCUGGCAGUCAGAGGCGAUGAAGGACGUGCUAAUCUGCGAUAAGCGUCGGUAAGGUGAUAUGAACCGUUAUAACCGGCGAUUUCCGAAUGGGGAAACCCAGUGUGAUUCGUCACACUAUCAUUAACUGAAUCCAUAGGUUAAUGAGGCGAACCGGGGGAACUGAAACAUCUAAGUACCCCGAGGAAAAGAAAUCAACCGAGAUUCCCCCAGUAGCGGCGAGCGAACGGGGAGCAGCCCAGAGCCUGAAUCAGUGUGUGUGUUAGUGGAAGCGUCUGGAAAGGCGCGCGAUACAGGGUGACAGCCCCGUACACAAAAAUGCACAUACUGUGAGCUCGAUGAGUAGGGCGGGACACGUGGUAUCCUGUCUGAAUAUGGGGGGACCAUCCUCCAAGGCUAAAUACUCCUGACUGACCGAUAGUGAACCAGUACCGUGAGGGAAAGGCGAAAAGAACCCCGGCGAGGGGAGUGAAAAAGAACCUGAAACCGUGUACGUACAAGCAGUGGGAGCACAGAGCAAUCUGUGUGACUGCGUACCUUUUGUAUAAUGGGUCAGCGACUUAUAUUCUGUAGCAAGGUUAACCGAAUAGGGGAGCCGAAGGGAAACCGAGUCUUAACUGGGCGUUAAGUUGCAGGGUAUAGACCCGAAACCCGGUGAUCUAGCCAUGGGCAGGUUGAAGGUUGGGUAACACUAACUGGAGGACCGAACCGACUAAUGUUGAAAAAUUAGCGGAUGACUUGUGGCUGGGGGUGAAAGGCCAAUCAAACCGGGAGAUAGCUGGUUCUCCCCGAAAGCUAUUUAGGUAGCGCCUCGUGAAUUCAUCUCCGGGGGUAGAGCACUGUUUCGGCAAGGGGGUCAUCCCGACUUACCAACCCGAUGCAAACUGCGAAUACCGGAGAAUGUUAUCACGGGAGACACACGGCGGGUGCUAACGUCCGUCGUGAAGAGGGAAACAACCCAGACCGCCAGCUAAGGUCCCAAAGUCAUGGUUAAGUGGGAAACGAUGUGGGAAGGCCCAGACAGCCAGGAUGUUGGCUUAGAAGCAGCCAUCAUUUAAAGAAAGCGUAAUAGCUCACUGGUCGAGUCGGCCUGCGCGGAAGAUGUAACGGGGCUAAACCAUGCACCGAAGCUGCGGCAGCGACGCUUAUGCGUUGUUGGGUAGGGGAGCGUUCUGUAAGCCUGUGAAGGUGUGCUGUGAGGCAUGCUGGAGGUAUCAGAAGUGCGAAUGCUGACAUAAGUAACGAUAAAGCGGGUGAAAAGCCCGCUCGCCGGAAGACCAAGGGUUCCUGUCCAACGUUAAUCGGGGCAGGGUGAGUCGACCCCUAAGGCGAGGCCGAAAGGCGUAGUCGAUGGGAAACAGGUUAAUAUUCCUGUACUUGGUGUUACUGCGAAGGGGGGACGGAGAAGGCUAUGUUGGCCGGGCGACGGUUGUCCCGGUUUAAGCGUGUAGGCUGGUUUUCCAGGCAAAUCCGGAAAAUCAAGGCUGAGGCGUGAUGACGAGGCACUACGGUGCUGAAGCAACAAAUGCCCUGCUUCCAGGAAAAGCCUCUAAGCAUCAGGUAACAUCAAAUCGUACCCCAAACCGACACAGGUGGUCAGGUAGAGAAUACCAAGGCGCUUGAGAGAACUCGGGUGAAGGAACUAGGCAAAAUGGUGCCGUAACUUCGGGAGAAGGCACGCUGAUAUGUAGGUGAAGUCCCUCGCGGAUGGAGCUGAAAUCAGUCGAAGAUACCAGCUGGCUGCAACUGUUUAUUAAAAACACAGCACUGUGCAAACACGAAAGUGGACGUAUACGGUGUGACGCCUGCCCGGUGCCGGAAGGUUAAUUGAUGGGGUUAGCGCAAGCGAAGCUCUUGAUCGAAGCCCCGGUAAACGGCGGCCGUAACUAUAACGGUCCUAAGGUAGCGAAAUUCCUUGUCGGGUAAGUUCCGACCUGCACGAAUGGCGUAAUGAUGGCCAGGCUGUCUCCACCCGAGACUCAGUGAAAUUGAACUCGCUGUGAAGAUGCAGUGUACCCGCGGCAAGACGGAAAGACCCCGUGAACCUUUACUAUAGCUUGACACUGAACAUUGAGCCUUGAUGUGUAGGAUAGGUGGGAGGCUUUGAAGUGUGGACGCCAGUCUGCAUGGAGCCGACCUUGAAAUACCACCCUUUAAUGUUUGAUGUUCUAACGUUGACCCGUAAUCCGGGUUGCGGACAGUGUCUGGUGGGUAGUUUGACUGGGGCGGUCUCCUCCUAAAGAGUAACGGAGGAGCACGAAGGUUGGCUAAUCCUGGUCGGACAUCAGGAGGUUAGUGCAAUGGCAUAAGCCAGCUUGACUGCGAGCGUGACGGCGCGAGCAGGUGCGAAAGCAGGUCAUAGUGAUCCGGUGGUUCUGAAUGGAAGGGCCAUCGCUCAACGGAUAAAAGGUACUCCGGGGAUAACAGGCUGAUACCGCCCAAGAGUUCAUAUCGACGGCGGUGUUUGGCACCUCGAUGUCGGCUCAUCACAUCCUGGGGCUGAAGUAGGUCCCAAGGGUAUGGCUGUUCGCCAUUUAAAGUGGUACGCGAGCUGGGUUUAGAACGUCGUGAGACAGUUCGGUCCCUAUCUGCCGUGGGCGCUGGAGAA